rnacentral:misc_RNA from 1 species
CGAGCGCAUGAGUUGUGCUGGACCUGUGACUACCGGGAGGACCCCCGCUGUUGUGCGGCCGACUGCCGGUGCCAGUGUCCCUUCAAUCGUUGGCUAAUGUGUGCCUACCGCUUUACGAGUGCUUGCGUGCUGCUACCAGUAACACUGGAAGUUGCAUUGCUAAAUGUUGGUUUUGUCGUGCAUUCCCUUCGGGUAUGUCACGUCAACUGUGAAGCUAUCAUGGCGUUGCCUCGUGUUGCUGGCUGUAUGGGUUAGCGACAUCAUGGCCACCUCAUGGUCGCGAUUGGUCUCGGAUGUGGCAAACUCUAAAGGCUGUAGGUGCUCAGGCACCUCAGGCCUCUUGUUUGCUCGGAAACAACGACAGUAGGCCUGGCUGAUGCCUCGUGCAUAGCUAGCGUU